GAUGAAGAACGCAGCGAAAUGCGAUAGGUAGUGUGAAUUGCAGAUGUAACGUGAAUCAUCGAAUCUUUGAACGCAAAUUGCACUCUCUGGUAUUCCGGGGAGUAUGCCUGUUUGAGGGUCGCCAAAUCAACAUCGAAAUUCAUCUGCUUUUUUGUAAAUGUUUAUCGGAUUUGAGCCGUCUUUUUUAUUUUAAUUAAAGUGGCUUAAAAUGUAAUUUUUUUGGUAUCGAAAAACGUUAUUUUACGAUCAAAUUGAUUAAAAAAACAAACGUUUUCGAAUGCCGCCUUUUUAAUGUAAUACGUUUGACUGUGAUGGUUAAUCAUAGUUUCAUUCGUAUACGAUUUUUUAAUUUUUGACCUCAAAUCAGGUAAGAACACCCGCUGAACUUAAGCAUAUCAAUAAGCGGAGGA
rnacentral:misc_RNA from 1 species